GCCCUAGUAACGGCGAGUGAAGCGGCAACAGCUCAAAUUUGAAAGCUAGCCUUCGGGUUCGCAUUGUAAUUUGUAGAGGAUGAUUUGGGGAAGCCGCCUGUCUAAGUUCCUUGGAACAGGACGUCAUAGAGGGUGAGAAUCCCGUAUGUGACAGGAAAUGGCACCCUAUGUAAAUCUCCUUCGACGAGUCGAGUUGUUUGGGAAUGCAGCUCUAAAUGGGAGGUAAAUUUCUUCUAAAGCUAAAUAUUGGCGAGAGACCGAUAGCGCACAAGUAGAGUGAUCGAAAGAUGAAAAGCACUUUGGAAAGAGAGUUAAAAAGCACGUGAAAUUGUUGAAAGGGAAGCGCUUGCAAUCAGACUUGUUUAAACUGUUCGGCCGGUCUUCUGACCGGUUUACUCAGUUUGGACAGGCCAGCAUCAGUUUCGGCGGCCGGAUAAAGGCUCUGGGAAUGUGGCCUCCACUUCGGUGGAGGUGUUAUAGCCCAGGGUGUAAUACGGCCAGCCGGGACUGAGGUCCGCGCUUCGGCUAGGAUGCUGGCGUAAUGGUUGUAAGCGACCCGUCUUGAAACACGGACCAAGGAGUCUAACAUCUAUGCGAGUG
rnacentral:rRNA from 1 species